GACGGAGGGUGCAAGCGUUGUUCGGAUUGACUGGGCGUAAAGGGCGUGUAGGCGGUCGGCCAAGUCUGAUGUGAAAGCCCGAGGCUCAGCCUCGGAAGUGCGUCGGAAACUAGUCGGCUGGAGCGCGAUAGAGGAGGGUGGAAUUCCUGGUGUAGCGGUGAAAUGCGUAGAUAUCUGGAAGAACACCAAAGGCGAAGGCAGUGUCCUGGGUGGUCGCUGACGCUGAGAGGCGAAAGCCAGGGGAGCGAACGGG
rnacentral:rRNA from 1 species